rnacentral:lncRNA from 1 species
AUGAAGAGAGAGAGUGUCAGACGGGCACGGGGGCGUGUCCAGCGGACACGGGGCCGUGCCCAGGCUUCUGUUCAGCCUAUAAAUAGGAGUGUUUGGCUUCAUUUCAACUCAUCCCUUGGCACACCACCUCUCUCACACCUCAUCCACCACCCACCACCACCAUAACACCAUCAUCCACCACCAUCAUCCAUUGUCCAUCGUAGAGUGUGUGAGUCGUCUCGGGAUCCAAGAUUGAUCGUAAGAGUUCUUGACAAUCAAGGUCCUGCUUGGGACCUGGGUCAAAUUUAGUAGGAUCUCCUUCAAUGCCCAUAGGCCAUGUUUGCCUAAGUCUCUUACAUCACUUGGUGAAGACAAGUGUUUAGUAUAAUACUUUUUAUUUUUAAUCUUUUGCACUUUUUAUUUGGUUUUGUAUUAAUGACUUUAAUAACUAGUUACUUAUGUUGAAGGUGAUCUUUCCUUAUCGUUUGUCCGUGGUGUCUUGGCAUUAUUUUACUGUCUAUAUAAAAUAAAAGAUUUUCACCAUUCAUAUCUCCACGGUCUAUAUGGAGGUAUGUUGGUUACCUGGUCGGGGGUUAAGGGAACGGUUUGGUAAAGGUCUUGCCCUUGUUAAGCGUUUAGAGGUCCUGCUUGGGACCUGGGUCAAAUUUAGUAGGAUCUCCUUCAAUGCCCAUAGGUAUUGGAUGGCGGGGAUCCAAACUCUUUGACCCCCUCAUAAGUUAACUACUAUUAAUACUAUAACCCGGCUAUUUAGGACUGUAUCCCUGCUGACUCAGACUACUUAGCCGAGGGUAACGUCACCGCCAAAAGCGGGGCCUACCAUAAUUUGCAUUAAUAACUUAAUUCAUUAUCUUUCAAUAAUCCGACCCUUUAGGAUUGUAUCCUUGCUGACUCAAACUACUGGGUUGAGGGUAACGUCGCCUUCAAAAGAGGGGCCUACUACAAUAACUAAGAUAAUCUCUUAAACAAGUGCAAAAGUGCGAAAAUAAUCAAAGGUUAUACUAAUACACGUGUCGGAUCCAAGUGAUUCAUCUUGUCUAUCUGUUUUUAUUUUAUUUUUAUUUUCAGCAUUUAGUUAGUUUUUAUUUUUCUUAGUUUAAAACAUUUUUCUAACUUUUUGAUUUGAUUAGACGUUGAGGAUAAACCGGUAUUAAAAGCUCUUGUGUCCUUGGACGACCUCGGUAUCUUACCAACACUAUACUACGUCCACGAUGGGUGCACUUGCCCAUAUGUGUGUUUAGUGUUAGUGAAUAUCGUGUUUUAUAAAUUUAAAACUUGGCUAAAAGUGUAAAAAGGGCUUAAAUAUACAUCAAAAAUAAUAUACACACUGACACGCAUC